UACGUAGGGGGCAAGCGUUGUCCGGAUUUAUUGGGCGUAAAGAGCGUGUAGGCGGCCAAGCAGGUCCGCUGUGAAAACUCGAGGCUCAACCUCGAGACGUCGGUGGAAACCGUUUGGCUAGAGUCCGGAAGAGGAGAGUGGAAUUCCCGGUGUAGCGGUGAAAUGCGCAGAUAUCGGGAAGAACACCCGUGGCGAAGGCGGCUCUCUGGGCCUGUACUGACGCUGAGGAGCGAAAGCGUGGGGAGCAAACAGG
rnacentral:rRNA from 1 species